rnacentral:misc_RNA from 1 species
UUUCCGUAGGUGAACCUGCGGAAGGAUCAUUAAAAAAUGUGGUACCAAUUAUUGGUACUAAUUAAUCGUCCUACCCUUUGUGAAUUUGUUUGUAACGAAUUUUUUUUAAAUGGGUCUUUCCCUAAGUUGGAUUGUAGUAAAAUACAAAAAAGACUUAGGGGAAUGACUUUUUUAAAAGACUUUUUUUUAAAUUAAAACUUUUUGUAUUCAUUUGUCUAAAAUUUAUUUUUAUAAUAUAAAAACAACUUUUGACAAUGGAUCUCUUGGUUCUCGCAACGAUGAAGAACGCAGCAAAAUGCGAUAAGUAGUGUGAAUUGCAGAAUACGUGAAUCAUCGAAUCUUCGAACGCAUAUUGCACUUUUUUAGUUUACUAAAAAAGUAUGUCUGUUUGAGUAUCAGUAAAAUAUUCUCACAAACAAUUUGUUUUUGUGGUUAUGAGUGUUUUACAACGAUAAACAAGUUGUUUCACUCUAAAUUCUUUUUAAUUGAAUUUACCAACUCAUAAAUUAAAAUUGGAUAAAAUUUUCCUUUAACGAGGAAUAACCUAAACAAUUUUAAAUUUUAUGGAUUCAUAAACAUCAUCAAGGAAUCUAUACAACAAAUAACUUGAUCUCAAAUCAGAUAAGAGUACCCGCUGAACUUAAGCAUAUCAAUAAGCGGAGGAAAAGAAACUAACAAGGUUCCCUUAGUAACGGCGAGUGAAGCGGGAAGAGCUCAAAUUUGAAAUCUUCAGGUUUGACCUUGACGAAUUGUAGUUUAUAGAAGUGUUUUCUGUUGGAGUUUUGGUAAAAGUUCUUUGGAAUAGGACAUCAUAGAGGGUGAGAAUCCCGUAUUUGACCAUGACUUUCCAGCUGUGUGAUACACUUUCAAAGAGUCGGAUUGUUUGGGAAUGCAGUCCAAAAUGGGUGGUAAAUUUCAUCUAAAGCUAAAUAUUGGCGAGAGACCGAUAGCGAACAAGUACCGUGAGGGAAAGAUGAAAAGAACUUUGAAAAGAGAGUUAAACAGUACGUGAAAUUGUCAAAAGGGAAGCGUUUGACACCAGUGUUGUUUUCUCGAAAAUCAAUUUAAUGAGUUCUUGUUUUUAAGUUAUUGUGACUUUAUCAGCGCAUUUCUUAUUUUACUUGACUCAUUGAAUGCACUUUUCGUUUAACAAGUCAACAUCAAUUUCUUUGGUGGUAAAAAGUUUAAAGGAAGGUGGCUUGGACUUCGGUUCAAGUGUUUAUAGCCUUUUUUCUAUGCCAUCGGAGAGAUUGAGGUCUGCAGCGUAGAUCCUUCGGGGUUAGAUACCUUUGUGCUAAGUUAUAGUUUUUAUAGACAACUUGUUGACUAUAAUUAACCCUGUAAUUUACUCGCUUAGGCUAUUUUACCUACGCUUAGGAUGUUG